rnacentral:rRNA from 1 species
AUUGAACGCUGGCGGCAGGCCUAAUACAUGCAAGUCGAACGGUAACAUAAGAAAAGCUUGCUUUUCUUGAUGACGAGUGGCGGACGGGUGAGUAAUAUUUGGGAAACUACCUGAUAGAGGGGGACAACAGUUGGAAACGACUGCUAAUACCGCAUACAGCCUCAGGGUGAAAGAAGCGAUUCGCUAUCAGAUGUGCCCAAACGGGAUUAGCUAGUAGGUGAGGUAAAGGCUCACCUAGGCGACGAUCUCUAGCUGGUCUGAGAGGAUGAUCAGCCACAUUGGGACUGAGACACGGCCCAGACUCCUACGGGAGGCAGCAGUAGGGAAUAUUGCACAAUGGAGGAAGCUCUGAUGCAGCCAUGCCGCGUGUGUGAAGAAGGCCUUCGGGUUGUAGAGCACUUUCGGAGGGGAGGAAGAAAAUGACGUUACCCUCAGAAGAAGCACCGGCUAACUCCGUGCCAGCAGCCGCAGUAA